rnacentral:rRNA from 1 species
AUACGUAGGGCGCAAGCGUUGUCCGGAAUUAUUGGGCGUAAAGAGCUCGUAGGCGGUUUGUCGCGUCUGCUGUGAAAGCCCGGGGCUCAACCCCGGGUGUGCAGUGGGUACGGGCAGGCUGGAGUGCAGUAGGGGAGACUGGAAUUCCUGGUGUAGCGGUGAAAUGCGCAGAUAUCAGGAGGAACACCGAUGGCGAAGGCAGGUCUCUGGGCUGUUACUGACGCUGAGGAGCGAAAGCAGUGGGGAGC